UACGUAGGGGGCUAGCGUUGUCCGGAUUUAUUGGGCGUAAAGAGCUCGUAGGCGGUUUGGCAAGUCGGGUGUGAAAAACUCCGGCUCAACUCGGAGACGCCACUCGAUACUGCCAUGACUCGAGUCCGGUAGGGGAGUGGCGGAAUUCCUGGUGUAGCGGUGAAAUGCGCAGAUAUCAGGAGGAACACCGGUGGCGAAGGCGGCACUCUGGGCCGGUGACUGACGCUGAGCACGCGAAAGCGUGGGGAGCGAACAGG
rnacentral:rRNA from 1 species